AAAUUACCUUCUGAAAUAAUUGUGUACUUUUGGACUUGUUGGAUAUAAAAUAGUUGCAGAUGAAAAUACAAUUCAGUUCACGUUUCUCAUUGACAAGUAGCAGCCUUGGCAAAUAGAGAGCAGUACUUAGAAGAUGUUUGUCAAAUUGUCACUGAUACUUUUGAUCUCUCUCGUAUCAUCAGAAGAAACUGAUGACCGGCAAAAAAGAUCAUUGCAACCAGGCGCACCAAAUGUAAAUAUUGGAAACAAAGACCAACCCUGGCAGUUUGAUCCCAAUGUUGCUCGAGAUGAACAUGGAAAUGUCGUCACCGACUUGAAAAUCAAAAACCAUGGAGAAAAUCACGAUUUUCACGCUGGAUGGAACAAAGUCGUUAGGGGUCCAAGUAGAGCUAAGCCCACUUGGAAUGUUGGGGGUACUUUCAGAUGGUAGUUUAUGUAGUUCAGUAAUUUAUUUUUAGUAACUUAUAAUACUGUGAUAGUGCCAUAUUUUUUCUAAAAUAAAUAUUUUUCCGUA